GGCCCUGUAGCUCAACGGCAGAGCAGUUGACUCUUAAUCAAUUGGUUAGAAGUUCGAAUCUUCUCAGGGUCA
rnacentral:tRNA from 1 species